ensembl:lncRNA
ACUUGGAAUGGAUCUGUUUCUGGAGAUCUCUCUCUGGUGGAGCUUUCCCCUGUGAACCUGGAAUCUUCUGAUAUGGGUAGGACUUUUGGUCCCUUUAUUGCAUAUUCAGUGUUAAAGAAUGAUAACCUUCAGAAUGGCACCUCUUACGACUAUGCUACGGUUAAGUUUUUCGAAUCAACUGAAAGCAAGGAGCCUCUUGGGAGUCCAACAUCUUAGGUCUCUACAACACAAACACACCUGUCUUUGUAACUAUUAAGCCACACACUCAAAAGAUUUAUUUGGAUUUAAUUGCCACCAUCUGCUGACUCACUCUAUGGGGGGAAGGAGGGAACCAAAACUUGCUAUUGUCAGUCCAGUUAGUUUGCUAUGAGAGGGUCUCACAAUUUUUGUUCAGUCUUGAGUCUUUGCUUCAACAAAGAUGACAUUUACCCAGACCUCUGCAUGGUCUGUUUGAAAAAUGACACAGUUGUAAUUCCAAGAGCUCAAAACAUAUCUGAAAAUCUCUCUAUUUUUGUCUUUUUCCUCUCCCAUUCUAUCUGGAUUUGAGAAUCCACUUGGAUAGUGGCUGACGUAAUUCUCACCUGAUGCUUAAAUAACUGCACUAUAAAUUGAAGCGUUUCCAUCUGUUCUUGUGAAUACAACCUAAACUAUCCAUCAUGUGCCAUUUCUUGGAGCUGGGUAGGUUGGCACUAAAAUACUAGAGUGAAAACUACUGCAUUUCAGCAAAUGCUUCAAAAUUUCUGAAAAGGUUCUUGUGUAUGAUCACGGGAGGAAAACUUGAGACCUAUUUAGCUUCAUAUAUGCUGAUCUUUAGACAUCUUGCAGUAAAUUUAACCGAAAGUGGAUUCUUUUAAUGUUUACUAAUUUAAACUCAUUUUCAUUCUUAAACUAUCACAAUUUGAAAAACACCAAAAAUAUUGAGCUGUUAGACGCAUACUCAAAUUAGGAUCUGAAAUAGAAAUUUUCUAGAAUGUUUUUUCUCAACACUGUGGUUGGUUGGUUGGCUUGUUGCUUAGCUCCAUUCAUGUCUACUGUCUUCAAGAGAUUAGCACUCUGAGCUCCAAAAUUUUAUUACCCAGGCUUCUAAAUCUUUUGUCUAUGUAAGAUGUGGUUUCUUAUCCUCCCUAGUUAAGCCGCCAUUGUAAAUUUACAAAGAUAUAUAAAACACAUUAAUUUAUUUAUGCUCUUUUUUUCUACAUUCCUAAUUCUACUACAUAUCUUUUCCUGAAGUGACUCUCUACUUCUGUACCAUCAGGAAAUUUAACCACAUCACUGCAAACUGCUACAAACACAUAAAAGAGAAGUUUCUCAUUUCUGGUACUAAUUCCUGAAGCAACGAAUUAGAUAUCUUUUGGUUUCACUGCAUGAAUAUCCACUACCACCAGAGAGAAGUAUAGUUUAUCACUUCAUGUCCUUAGUUCUACUACUAUUAAGGAUUUUACCGAUUAGUAUUUAGCAAAUUAAUACAGAAAGUAUUCUCCUAAUGCUCCAGGUCAUUUCCUUAUGACUACACUCCAUAGCUCUAAGUUAAUUUUUUUUCUAGUACUUCAGAAAUGCCAAUCAGAUAUUAUGUAUAUAUGUAUGCCAUCCACUUCUAUCAUACUUAACCAGAAUGCGCUGCAUAUUUGUAGGGAUUUCAUCUCAGAUUCUCUGAUUAGCAUUUCUAAAAAAGUAAAGCUUACAGAUCCGAUGUUUUAUGAAUAAGGCCAUUACUCUUUAUCAAUGCUUUCUGAUAAAGUACUGCUGUCAAACUGCAAAGAAACUUUUGGUCAUGCUCAUUCAUCUUUCUGACAGAGGUUGCUGCAAUGUAGUUAGGGAUUAAGUAUCAAAUGUAAACAGAAAUAUUUUUGGAGAAAAACACUUGAACAUAUUUCCAUCAGUUUAGUAUGU